AGAGCCUGUGACAAUGAUGAUGACGUAAGUCGUCACGUUUCUGAUGAUGACGAAUGUGGAAAAACUGGAACAAAAGGUGUGUUUCCUGGACACCUCCUUCUGGAUGAGUUUCAGCUGGAAGGAGGCCUUAAAGGAAGGCCCAGAGUCCACUGGAAGGGUUGUUAUAUAUCCAGUCUGGUCUGGGAAUGCCGAGCGAUCUCACAGGAGGAGUCACCCCCAAUUUCCUUCGCAUCCAGAACGGCAGCGAAAAGGUUGUAUGCGCCGAUCACAGCUGAUUGUUUCCAUUCAAGUUAAUGUGUCAAACUCCACCAGCUUCUUUCCGUUCCACUGCCGUUCAGCGGACUCUACAGCCGAUCACCAUAGUUCUAUUUUUUCUGGAGUCGGGCACAGACACAAAAUAAAACAUCCGUCUUCUUUUCAAAAUAAAACACGACGUGUUUCAGGCAGAUCGUAUUUCACACCAUACAAACGUGGGCAGGGGCGAACAUGUGAAAGGUUUUCAGAUGCAGUUUCACCCCGAUGACACCAUGGAUGAGGAGAUGCUGAUUCUAGAAGUCGAGAAGUUGAUUUCCUCCUCUGGAAGAACACAAUCUACUGCUUGUAUGGUUAUGUUGCUGUCUUUAUAGAGACAACUCUUUAUCCAACGAUUGCAUGUGAAUCUGCGGGAUCUUGUGAGUUCUCGCGAUUCUCGUUUGUCCCAAAUCUGCCAUGAAAUUCACCUCACAAACACAUCCGGUAGGAAUUUGGUGGAUGGUGAAAAUUGCCACCGUUCCGUAGCAGAGCUGUUCCAGAUGUGGUGGAAAUUGGGGGUUAGACUGCUGCCCUACAACCUGAGCAAAGCACACAAGUCUAAGGGACAUCCUCAGUCGACAUCCUGGUAGUCAUGCGUUACUAUCGUAGGAAACAACCAUUUUUUUUCUCCUACUAAAACUGUGUAAAACAAAGAAAGCACCCAAAAUGGAAGUCCUGAAAAGUGCAAACUCUGUUAAAUUUACCAGGGUUCAUUGGACACUGGUUGAUGGAUUUGCCUGGUCCAGAUGUGGUAACUUGAAGUCCAGAGAACGAACACACUGGGGGACAAAAUGUUGGCGGUUCAGAGUCAAAGUCAAAGUAGGUGGUCACACAAAGUCUGAGUUCCUUUUAAAAACUUUUGUCUCUAUUGAUACCCGAUCUUAACUAUGAGAUUUGCUCGGUCUAAGUAAGUUGGGUCUGCAGAGUUGUGUUUGCCAACCCCCUGAGACCACAACAGUCCAUAAUUGUAUCUUGUUUUUGAAGACUUAUACACUGUAGAGUUUCAUAUUCUUGUGUCCAGGUCUAGCGUCUCAUGGCCGAUCCUCGUCUUUGCUUACUUCCUUGGCUGUCCCUGUCCUCCUCU